rnacentral:rRNA from 1 species
UAUAACUCCCAAACCCAUGUGAACAUACCUAACGUUGCCUCGGCAGGUCGCACCUACCUUGUAGCACCCUACCCUGUAGGGCCUACCCGGGAGGUGCGGGUAAGCCUGCCGGCGGCCCACCAAACUCUGUUUGAUAUUGAAUUCUGAACCUAUAACUAAAUAAGUUAAAACUUUCAACAACGGAUCUCUUGGUUCUGGCAUCGAUGAAGAACGCAGCGAAAUGCGAUAAGUAAUGUGAAUUGCAGAAUUCAGUGAAUCAUCGAAUCUUUGAACGCAUAUUGCGCCCAUUAGUAUUCUAGUGGGCAGGACCGUUCGAGCGUCAUUUCAACCCUUAAGCCUUCGUUGCUUAGUGUUGGGAGCCUACGGCAACGUAGCUCCUCAAAGUUAGUGGCGGAGUUGGUUCACACUCUAGACGUAGUAAUUUUUUAUCUCGCCUAUUAGUUGGACUAAUCCCCUGCCGUAAAACCCCCAAUUUAUCAAGGUUGACCUCGAAUCGGUUCAGACAAACUCGCUAAAUUGAAGCAUCUUAGUCAGCGAAGGAAAAGAA